GGUGGCACAGAUGUAGGGCUACGGUGGCGGGUUCAUAUGUAGGGCAGCGGCAGCGGGUACAACCGUCUUAGGGAGAUCCUCUUCUCAUAUCAUGCCCUAGUUGUUACUCCUCCAUUGGCUCGCCUCUCACCAUCUAUUCUACAAUAGCGUGGUGGCUGCGGGAACAGGUGCAACACGACGAUCUGUGGGUGCACCGGCUCUAGGAGGACCAUGGGCUUGAUAGCUGGGUCCGACAUCCCUGUGGCGAUCAGAGAUGGUGGUGUAUGGAAGUGGCCCGUGGUGGGCAGGGAACAAUGUGGCCCUGUUGUUGUCCUCCUUGUUCAGCUUGACAUGACCGUCGUUCAGCUUGACAUGACUGUCGUUCAGCUGAAAACAAGAUUACAUGAGGACGAUUAAACUGGAGCAUAAAUGCACAAUACAUCUGCAAUGUGAUUUUUCUAAAUGGAAUUAAUUUUGUGGAGCUUGCAUCCCUUCUGUUAGUAGUUUGUAAAUAACAUGAAUCCAGUUUUAUACAGAAGCAAGUGAUAGGCGAGUGGAGAAAGACAGUUCGCCCACUAAUAUGGCACUGUCGAACAUUAGAAUUGCAUAUGAAGGAUAUUUCAUCGCAAAUAGCACAGUAUGAAAUGGACUUGCUUUAAUUAGUCUCGAAAAAGAUCUGCACCCAGUGAUUAAAGAAGAUAGUUCUGAUCCAGAAUUAGCACAACUGACUAUCCAAAGCCACCUACACAUUUUGCACUGAGCUUGUACUGAUACUUGGCAGUAAUGACGUGUAUCCUUUUGCAGAAAACAAAAACAAAACAGUGGGGCUGAAACAUAUGGUUUUUUGAUUUAUGAUGGUGCAGAUCUUGGAAACAAUUCAACUGGGCACCAUGGCGCUGAAUUCAAGUACAACUUCUUGCCGGAAAGCUCUUAUAUAUGAUCUCUUGAAUCUCGACAACAAAAAUGGACCAUCUUGCGUCUUACUCCAGUCAGUUACAACCUAACAAUCAGAAAUUGUGAUGGAUAUGAGUCUUGUUUACGCAUUAGAGUAAAUGCACGAAGAACUGAUGAAUGAGAAGAUAUUUUCAGAGAACCAUCUAUGCUACGUGCAAUGCUGGUUUGAUAAUUUUUCGCAUGUCUCGUGCAUGACACCAUCGCAUUCAUCGGCCUCCACUUGUGCGCCAAUCUAUGAUGCCUGCGCUCGCGGUGUCAGGUCACGCUCUGCUGCAAUUGUGCAUGCUGCCUCUACGCGGCCCCAUCAAGGAAUACAGCCCAGCUGAGAUUUUUCAUAUCAUCUCUACCAUGGCGGCAUCGUUGCAAGAGAUUCAGGUAAAGAUUAUCCCUGUUUUCUAUGCUAUAUUAAGUUACUAAGGUGAUGUCCUCCUAGCCUUGAGCAUGUUCAUCUGACUAAUCUUUGCUACUACAUUUCUUAGCUAAUGUCCUCUGCCUGGAUCAUGUUCAUCUUAUUAACAAAGGCUUGGCCAUCAUGUAUUUGUAGCUGGUGAAUUGGAUAUAUAUUACUCCAGUUUGCAUGAGAACAACCGCUUAUACCGUUAUAUGUAUGCCUCGAUAGUAUAGUAGGAUUGCUUGGAUUAUUUCUAUAGUACUUUGUCCAGUUUCUCAACUUUUUAAGAGGCUUGCACUGAUCAAAGAAAUCAUGCGCCCUUGGCUUGAUCAAAUGUAUGGUUCGCUAAUUUAUUUUUGAAGUGUGUUCCUCCUACUAUCUUAUUAUUCCAUAGCUAAUUACAUUUUGGAAUCUGAUGGGUGCGAAGUACUUUCACAACAAGAAAGUGCUAAACUUUUGGCAGGGAAAACAUAAAAACAAAAAGGAAAUUGUUUAAGUGUGUGAUGUUGGCCAAUAAGCCACAACGACUGCAUCAGGUAUGCUUGCAUGCACGCGUCGGGUGCGGUCCGGGCCGUGUCGGUUCCGUGUCAGGCAUGCCUGUGUGCUUGUGUGAGUGUGUGUUUUGAAGUGCCUUUUGAGGAUAACAUUUUUAUGCUCUUGGAAAUCAAGAGCUAAGUUUUGGUGUACUGGAAACUAAGAACCCAUUGUCAACUAUCUUGCGGUGAAGUGUUGAAUACUGUGUGGAGGUUAGUGUUGAAAAAGAUGAGUUCAUUUGUGAGUGCAGUAAUUUUGACCACUCUGGUUUGUUGCGCAGCCACGCGCCAAAAGGUAUUACUAAUGCUAUGUUGUGAUUAUCUUACUUGUUCAGUUAAGCAUGAGACUUUGAAAUAUUUGUGUGUUUUUUUAGAAAAGGAGGCUUGCCCUCGGCAAAAAGAUAUCUUUGUGUAGUUAUGAUUUUUUUCCUUAUCCUGCAUGCUUCUGCUUUCCUUUAGAAGAAAUUCAAACACUGUCGCCGAUGUUGCUCUUAGGUAGUGGUGCAUCCGGACGUUGUCAAAAUCUCUCCCAAACCUGUAAUGAAGUGCUCGACAAAGGAUGCUAGCGCUAUAUUGCCUGCUGAAUUUUUCUGAUACCAAAAGGACCAGAGCCAAUCAAAGUCAUCAACAUAUAUACACCCAAACCUGCACCUUAUGGACAUGGGGAUUGUCAAACUCGGUGUCACGAAUGUUGAAGGUUGUACAAUGGCAACGGAUAAGCUGAAGGAGCUUAGAGAAGACCUUGGAACAUAUAUAUGCUACAGUAUAACUGAUGGGGUGGGUUAUGGAAUAUAGAUUAAAGGGUGUCGAUUUUAUGAUUGUACCGACUGAAGUUUUUUCAGGUGGUGUGAUACGUC